AGCGCCCUACAGAACCAAACCGGACCGAUUACCUUUCCCAUGCAAGGCAGCCCCUGAGUGCUGGGGGACUUGCCCAGGGUCACACAGUCCAAUAAUGGCAGAGUUUAAAACUGUCCCCGUUUUAGCGUGGAAAACUCUGUGUCCCGGGAAACCUCAGUUCUGAGCAAACCAGGAUGGUUGGUUACCCGCUCUGGUGGGCGUGACCCCAUUCUUCCCUUUGCCCCCAGUACCUGAAUUUCCUGCCAUCUUCUGCACCCCCCACCCUUUUCCCUGGCCCUCUGCAGCCUAUUCAUGAAACCCAAUUCCUCCCCUCCCCAGGGUCUGUCUCCGGGUGGGACUCACACAUGCCACCGCCUCCCUACCUUGUGGCAGAGCAGUGAGCACAGCUGCUUCCUGCUCUUCUCUCCCUGCGGGGCUGAGCUGGGACAGUAUUGAACGGGACCUCAGCCCUGCUGGGGUUUGCACCCAGGCAGGUGGGGGGGAUGGAGUUGGAAGUGUCAGGGACCCCAGGGGGGCCCUUGAGCUGGCUCCUGAGAAACCAGCACAGAGAGAGGAGCAGGACAUCUCAGUCCAGGAGGACUUCUGCCAAGAUGACCAAGGGAGGCGUUGGGGAACGUGUUGGGGCCACCCGGUGAACUGACACCACAUCACAACUCACCCAGAGGAUAAGCUUAGGGCGCGUGGAAACUCAGGCUGCCAGGCCCAACCCUACUCAGGCAUACCUCUUAGAAGCUGGAAUAAUAAUACCAGUAAAGGAAAGCAGCACUGAUGGAGUCCUUCCUCCGGGCUAGGCCCAAGUUAAUUGUGAUCCACUAAAAUUAGUCACAACAGACCGACCGCCAGAUUUAAAGCCAGAUAACCCCAAGGCCUCAGCCUGGCCUCUGAUGGGCUGUGAAACCUGAAAGCAGAUCACGUAAACAGCUUUUUUUGUUGUUGUUAAAUGGGGAUAAUAUUACUAAUCAACAAUUGUUGCCAAGAUUGAAAUGAGGCCGUGUAAGUGAAAACAUUGUGCAUGGUGCACAGAAAAUGGAUUUCGUUGCUGUUGGGAUUAUUACUGUGACUCACCAGGCGGGAGGUCUCAGCAAUGCCCUAAAUAUAACCGCUUUACGCUCCGGA